CCUGACCAUUUAGGAAAAUACAAAAUAUUAAAUACGCUAUUGUUAAUUAACUUUUAUAUUUUUGUGGUUCCCAUCACUGGAGAAGCCGUCAUAAAAAGUAGUGUAGUUAAUAGUGAAGAGGAAAGGGGCUGGAUUUCGCGUUACGUCUACAUCUGAACCUCAAAAUGCGAAAGGGGUGCUUACCUGUGUGGACUUAAAAUUGGAGAAUAAUAUUGUUCCUGUUCUCUGUGGAGGGAGGCAGGUGAAUGGCGACUGGAUAUUGGCGACUGUUUUUGCUUUUUCACAUCAGAAAUGUGUGUAAGGCAGCUGACUUGUUCUGCGCUCACUCUCCCAGAGCGAUCUCACGGCCAUCUCUCACAAAAUUUGUGCACCACCACCGGCCGGCUAUUAUUACAAUGCAUCACGCAUGAAAUCCUGCAUUCAUGAUUCGGAUAAGAACUAAACUAAUCAUUUGAUUCCACUUUUGAAUAGAUAAGCAUAUAAUCAACUUAAGUAGAAUGCAUUUAAACUUAAAAGAGAUGCGCCAUGAAAAAGAAUUCCAUGUCAGACCUUAAAUUCGGUGACUUAACGCAAGUUACUUUAUUAAAUCUAGACUUAAAUAAAGUAGAACACAUUAAUCAGAUGAAUUCACAUUAUUAAUAAUGCAUAGUUUAUCAUCUGGUACAAAAAUUGUAUGCUAUACGACACGUAUAAUCGUCAGUGUUUAUCGCAAUCGUAUGUGUUAAC